UAAUUUACCUGGGAGGGAAUAUACCACGAUCAAGAAUAUAUAUGAUCCUCCCAGGAUGAGUUACUAGCAUCUAGGUGUGCUGAUGCCUGCGUUUCUCCACCUGUGAGAAACUCAACUGCACAAUUUAUGAUAAUGGUGGACUGCUUUUGGCAUAUUCCCC